rnacentral:rRNA from 1 species
GAUGAACGCUGCCUUCGUGCCUAAUACAUGCAAGUCGAGCGAACGGACGAGAAGCUUGCUUCUCUGAUGUUAGCGGCGGACGGGUGAGUAACACGUGGAUAACCUACCUAUAAGACUGGGAUAACUUCGGGAAACCGGAACUAAUACCGGAUAAUAUUUUGAACCGCAUGGUUCAAAAGUGAAAGACGGUCUUGCUGUCACUUAUAGAUGGAUCCGCGCUGCAUUAGCUAGUUGGUAAGGUAACGGCUUACCAAGGCAACGAUGCAUAGCCGACCUGAGAGGGUGAUCGGCCACACUGGAACUGAGACACGGUCCAGACUCCUACGGGAGGCAGCAGUAGGGAAUCUUCCGCAAUGGGCGAAAGCCUGACGGAGCAACGCCGCGUGAGUGAUGAAGGUCUUCGGAUCGUAAAACUCUGUUAUUAGGGAAGAACAUAUGUGUAAGUAACUGUGCACAUCUUGACGGUACCUAAUCAGAAAGCCACGGCUAACUACGUGCCAGCAGCCGCGGUAAUACGUAGGUGGCAAGCGUUAUCCGGAAUUAUUGGGCGUAAAGCGCGCGUAGGCGGUUUUUUAAGUCUGAUGUGAAAGCCCACGGCUCAACCGUGGAGGGUCAUUGGAAACUGGAAAACUCGAGUGCAGAAGAGGAAAGUGGAAUUCCAUGUGUAGCGGUGAAAUGCGCAGAGAUAUGGAGGAACACCAGUGGCGAAGGCGACUUUCUGGUCUGUAACUGACGCUGAUGUGCGAAAGCGUGGGGAUCAAACAGGAUUAGAUACCCUGGUAGUCCACGCCGUAAACGAUGAGUGCUAAGUGUUAGGGGGUUUCCGCCCCUUAGUGCUGCAGCUAACGCAUUAAGCACUCCGCCUGGGGAGUACGACCGCAAGGUUGAAACUCAAAGGAAUUGACGGGGACCCGCACAAGCGGUGGAGCAUGUGGUUUAAUUCGAAGCAACGCGAAGAACCUUACCAAAUCUUGACAUCCUUUGACAACUCUAGAGAUAGAGCUUUCCCCUUCGGGGGACAAAGUGACAGGUGGUGCAUGGUUGUCGUCAGCUCGUGUCGUGAGAUGUUGGGUUAGGUCCCGCAACGAGCGCAACCCUUAAGCUUAGUUGCCAUCAUUAAGUUGGGCACUCUAAGUUGACUGCCGGUGACAAACCGGAGGAAGGUGGGGAUGACGUCAAAUCAUCAUGCCCCUUAUGAUUUGGGCUACACACGUGCUACAAUGGACAAUACAAAGGGCAGCGAAACCGCGAGGUCAAGCAAAUCCCAUAAAGUUGUUCUCAGUUCGGAUUGUAGCCUGCAACUCGACUACAUGAAGCUGGAAUCGCUAGUAAUCGUAGAUCAGCAUGCUACGGUGAAUACGUUCCCGGGUCU